rfam:Trichuris trichiura, WGS project CBXK01000000 data, contig: TTRE_2143
UAUGAGAGAUGAGGGGCGGCGUCCAGACGCAGCCUUCAAACCGCCUUGAGCUGCUGCCGUUAAGAGCGGUGGUGGUGAGCGUCAAGGUUAAAAGGCGCAGAACAUGUGUCAGGU